UUCCAUCUCUUUCUCAUAUACAUAAACUACCAUUCAACACUUUGAACCUUCAUUAUCUCCCUCAAACCGAAGCCUACACCACCAUGGUCAGCUUCAUCAUCUCCCUUUGACGGGCCUUCUGUUGAUCUUGGUGACAAGCAUUUGCAGGGAACACUGCGGUGUUUUACAUGUCUUUUUAUUGGUGAUUGGUUCACGAACAUGUGCCUGUUAGAUCAUCAUCUUUGAUCCCAAAAUUUCUAAUGCAAGCCUUGUUGACCAAGCGAAACUGCCCUUAGUUGCAGCUAUUUCAAUGGAUUGCAGUCUUGAAUAGCAACUGACAAAAGAGAAAGUGAAUCCAUGAAACAACCAAUCUACUCACGUAGCAAGCGAAUCCCAGAAGUGCCAAUUCCUG
rnacentral:lncRNA from 1 species